AUUGAACGCUGGCGGCAGGCCUAACACAUGCAAGUCGAACGAGUGGCGGACGGGUGAGUAAUGUCUGGGAAACUGCCUGAUGGAGGGGGCUAACUACUGGACACGGUAGCUAAUACCGCAUACCAUCAGAUGUGCCCCGAUGGGAUUAGCUAGUUGGUGGGGUAACGGCUCACAAAGGCGACGAUCCCUAGCUGGUCUGAGAGGAUGACCAGCCACACUGGAACUGAGAGACGGGCCAGACUCAUACGGGAGGCAGCAGGGGGGAAGAGUGCACAAGGGGCGCAAGCCUGAUGCAGCCAUGCCGCGUGUAUGAAGAAGGCCUUCGGGUUGUAAAGGACUUUCAGCGGGGAGGCGUUACCCGCAGAAGAAGCACCGGCUAACUCCGUGCCAGCCGCCGCGGUAAUUC
rnacentral:rRNA from 1 species